rnacentral:rRNA from 1 species
GCAUACGUCGUACGGGAGAAAGCAGGGGACUUUCGGGCCUUGCGCUAUCAGAUGAGCCUAGGUCGGAUUAGCUAGUUGGUGAGGUAAUGGCUCACCAAGGCGACGAUCCGUAACUGGUCUGAGAGGAUGAUCAGUCACACUGGAACUGAGACACGGUCCAGACUCCUACGGGAGGCAGCAGUGGGGAAUAUUGGACAAUGGGCGAAAGCCUGAUCCAGCCAUGCCGCGUGUGUGAAGAAGGUCUUCGGAUUGUAAAGCACUUUAAGUUGGGAGGAAGGGCAUUAACCUAAUACGUUAGUGUUUUGACGUUACCGACAGAAUAAGCACCGGCUAACUCUGUGCCAGCAGCCGCGGUAAUACAGAGGGUGCAAGCGUUAAUCGGAAUUACUGGGCGUAAAGCGCGCGUAGGUGGUUUGUUAAGUUGGAUGUGAAAGCCCCGGGCUCAACCUGGGAACUGCAUCCAAAACUGGCAAGCUAGAGUACGGUAGAGGGUGGUGGAAUUUCCUGUGUAGCGGUGAAAUGCGUAGAUAUAGGAAGGAACACCAGUGGCGAAGGCGACCACCUGGACUGAUACUGACACUGAGGUGCGAAAGCGUGGGGAGCAAACAGGAUUAGAUACCCUGGUAGUCCACGCCGUAAACGAUGUCAACUAGCCGUUGGAAUCCUUGAGAUUUUAGUGGCGCAGCUAACGCAUUAAGUGACCGCGUGGACACGCGAUGAAAAAAAA